UACGUAGGGGGCCAGCGUUGUCCGGAAUCAUUGGGCGUAAAGAGCGUGUAGGCGGUCCGGUCAGUCCGCUGUGAAAGUCAAGGGCUCAACCCUUGAAUGCCGGCGGAAACUGCCGGGCUAGAGUCCGGAAGAGGCGAGUGGAAUUCCCGGUGUAGCGGUGAAAUGCGCAGAUAUCGGGAGGAACACCUAUGGCGAAGGCAGCUCGCUGGGACGGUACUGACGCUGAGACGCGAAAGCGUGGGGAGCAAACAGG
rnacentral:rRNA from 1 species